rnacentral:tRNA from 1 species
GAGGGUAUAGCUCAGUGGCAGAGCACAUGCCUAGCGUACACAAGGUCCUGGGUUCAAUCCCCAGUACCUCCG